rnacentral:rRNA from 1 species
UGGGGAAUAUUGGGCAAUGGGGCGCAAGCCUGACCCAGCAACGCCGCGUGAAGGAAGAAGGCUUUCGGGUUGUAAACUUCUUUUGUCAGGGACGAGCAGAAGACGGUACCUGACGAAUAAGCACGGCUAACUACGUGCCAGCAGCCGCGGUAAUACGUAGGGAGCAAGCGUUAUCCGGAUUUACUGGGUGUAAAGGGCGAGUAGGCGGAUUGGCAAGUUGGGAGUGAAAUGUCGGGGCUUAACCCCGGAACUGCUUCCAAAACUGUUGAUCUUGAGUGAUGGAGAGGCAGGCGGAAUUCCCAGUGUAGCGGUGAAAUGCGUAGAUAUUGGGAGGGACACCAGUGGCGAAGGCGGCCUGCUGGACAUUAACUGACGCUGAGGAGCGAAAGCGCGGGGAGCAAACAGGAUUAG